rnacentral:rRNA from 1 species
UACCGCGGUUAUACGAGAGGCCCGAGUUGACAAACACCGGCGUAAAGAGUGGUUAAGGAACAUCAAAAACUAAAGCCGAACAACUUCAAAGCAGUUAUACGUGUUCGAAGCAACGAAGCCCCACCACGAAAGUGGCUUUAUCAUCCCUGACCCCACGAAAGCUAAGAAA